UGGCGCCCCAACUUGGGACUCAAGAACAGGGCACUUAGUGAGGGACGCUGUCCAUGGGCCCAAAGUAGAAAAAGAAAAAGAAAAUAGAGGACCGACGUGGGAGCCUGCCUUGCCUUUGAACCUCAGUAAGUGAACAGCGAUUAUGGGACAAGAAAUUAGCCAGCAUGAGACUUUUUUUGAAAGCAUAGAAAAGCUUUAAAGACACAAAGUGUAAGGGAAAAAAAAAAUUAGCAGUUGUGUCCACUAGGACAAGAAAUGAGUCAACGUGAGAUUUUUGUUAAAAGUUUUAAAAAGGCUUU
rfam:Cavia porcellus supercont2_33 genomic scaffold, whole genome shotgun sequence.